rnacentral:rRNA from 1 species
UACAGAGGUGGCAAGCGUUGUUCGGAAUUACUGGGCGUAAAGGGCGCGUAGGCGGUUCGUUAAGUCCUGUGUGAAAUCCCCCGGCUCAACUGGGGAACUGCACAGGAAACUAGCGGGCUUGAGUUCGAGAGAGGGAAGCGGAAUUCCGGGUGUAGCGGUGAAAUGCGUAGAUAUCCGGAGGAACACCGGUGGCGAAGGCGGCUUCCUGGACCGACACUGACGCUGAGGCGCGAAAGCUAGGGGAGCAAACGGG